rnacentral:misc_RNA from 1 species
UGCCUGUUCGAGCGUCAUUUCAACCUUCAAGCAUGGCUUGGUAUUGGGCACCACCUCGCUGGUGGGCCUCAAAAUUAGUGGCGGUGCAUCCGGUUUCCAGCGUAGUAAAAACCCUCGCUGUGGGACCGCGACGUGCCCUCCGCCAACAACUAAAUUCUUAGUUUGACCUCGGAUCAGGUAGGGAUACCCGCUGAACUUAA